CCUACGGGCGGCAGCAGUGGGGAAUAUUGCACAAUGGGGGAAACCCUGAUGCAGCGACGCCGCGUGAGUGAAGAAGUAAUUCGUUAUGUAAAGCUCUAUCAGCAGGGAAGAAAAUGACGGUACCUGAGUAAGAAGCCCCGGCUAACUACGUGCCAGCAGCCGCGGUAAUACGUAGGGGGCAAGCGUUCUCCGGAUUUACUGGGUGGAACGGGAGCGUAGACGGCAGUGCAAGUCUGGAGUGAAUGGCGGGGGCUUAACCCCGGAACUGCUCUGGAAACUGUGCGGCUAGAGUGCAGGAGAGGUAAGUGGAAUUCCGAGUGUAGCGGUGAAAUGCGUAGAUAUUAGGAGGAACACCAGUGGCGAAGGCGGCUUACUGGACUGUAACUGACGUUGAGGCUCGAAAGCGUGGGGAGCAAACAGGAUUAGAUACCCUGGUAGUC
rnacentral:rRNA from 1 species